ACGGGAGGCAGCAGUGGGGAAUAUUGCACAAUGGGGGAAACCCUGACGGAGCGACGCCGCGUGGACGAUGAAGGCCGGAAGGUUGUAAAGUCCUUUUAUGGCAGAGGAAUAAGCGGGGGAGUGGAAAGCCCCUGUGAUGACUGUAGGCCAUGAAUAAGCACCGGCUAAUUACGUGCCAGCAGCCGCGGUAACACGUAAGGUGCGAGCGUUGUUCGGAAUCAUUGGGCGUAAAGGGCAUGUAGGCGGUCUGUCAAGCCAGGCGUGAAAGCCGGGGGCUCAACCCCCGAACUGCGCUUGGAACUGGCGGACUGGAGUCGCUGAGGGGGAACCGGAAUUCCUGGUGUAGGGGUGAAAUCUGUAGAUAUCUGGAAGAAUACCAAUGGCGAAGGCAGGUUACCAGCAGAUGACUGACGCUGAGGUGCGAAGGUGCGGGGAGCAAACAGGAUUAGAUACCCUGGUA
rnacentral:rRNA from 1 species